rnacentral:rRNA from 1 species
AGAGUUUGAUUCUGGCUCAGAACGAACGCUGGCGGCGUGGAUAAGACAUGCAAGUCGAACGAGAGAAUUGCUAGCUUGCUAAUAAUUCUCUAGUGGCGCACGGGUGAGUAACACGUGAGUAACCUGCCCCCGAGAGCGGGAUAGCCCUGGGAAACUGGGAUUAAUACCGCAUAGUAUCGAAAGAUUAAAGCAGCAAUGCGCUUGGGGAUGGGCUCGCGGCCUAUUAGUUAGUUGGUGAGGUAACGGCUCACCAAGGCGAUGACGGGUAGCCGGUCUGAGAGGAUGUCCGGCCACACUGGAACUGAGACACGGUCCAGACACCUACGGGUGGCAGCAGUCGAGAAUCAUUCACAAUGGGGGAAACCCUGAUGGUGCGACGCCGCGUGGGGGAAUGAAGGUCUUCGGAUUGUAAACCCCUGUCAUGUGGGAGCAAAUUAAAAAGAUAGUACCACAAGAGGAAGAGACGGCUAACUCUGUGCCAGCAGCCGCGGUAAUACAGAGGUCUCAAGCGUUGUUCGGAAUCACUGGGCGUAAAGCGUGCGUAGGCUGUUUCGUAAGUCGUGUGUGAAAGGCGCGGGCUCAACCCGCGGACGGCACAUGAUACUGCGAGACUAGAGUAAUGGAGGGGGAACCGGAAUUCUCGGUGUAGCAGUGAAAUGCGUAGAUAUCGAGAGGAACACUCGUGGCGAAGGCGGGUUCCUGGACAUUAACUGACGCUGAGGCACGAAGGCCAGGGGAGCGAAAGGGAUUAGAUACCCCUGUAGUCCACGCCCUAAACGUUGUACACUAGGUAUUGGAGGAAUCAUCCCCUUCAGUGCCCCAGCUAACGCGAUAAGUGUACC